rnacentral:rRNA from 2 species
GAUGAACGCUGGCGGUAUGCUUAACACAUGCAAGUCGAACGGACUCUUCGGAGUUAGUGGCGGACGGGUGAGUAACGCGUGAGAAUCUGGCUUCAGGUCGGGGACAACAGUGGGAAACCGCUGCUAAUACCGGAUGUGCCUAUAUGGUGAAAGAUUAAUCGCCUGAAGAUGAGCUCGCGUCUGAUUAGCUAGUUGGUGUGGUAAGAGCGCACCAAGGCGACGAUCAGUAGCUGGUCUGAGAGGAUGAUCAGCCACACUGGAACUGAGACACGGUCCAGACUCCUACGGGAGGCAGCAGUGGGGAAUUUUCCGCAAUGGGCGAAAGCCUGACGGAGCAAUACCGCGUGAGGGAGGAAGGCUCUUGGGUUGUAAACCUCUUUUCUCAAGGAAUAAGUUCUGAAGGUACUUGAGGAAUCAGCAUCGGCUAACUCCGUGCCAGCAGCCGCGGUAAUACGGAGGAUGCAAGCGUUAUCCGGAAUGAUUGGGCGUAAAGGGUCCGCAGGUGGCAUUGAAAGUCUGCUGUCAAAGAGUGCAGCUCAACUGCAUAAAGGCGGUGGAAACUACAAAGCUAGAGUACGUUAGGGGCAGAGGGAAUUCCUGGUGUAGCGGUGAAAUGCGUAGAGAUCAGGAAGAACACCGGUGGCGAAAGCGCUCUGCUAGGACUGUACUGACACUGAGGGACGAAAGCUAGGGGAGCGAAUGGGAUUAGAUACCCCAGUAGUCCUAGCCGUAAACGAUGGAUACUAGGCGUUGCGCGUAUCGACCCGCGCAGUGCCGGAGCUAACGCGUUAAGUAUCCCGCCUGGGGAGUACGCAGGCAACUGUGAAACUCAAAGGAAUUGACGGGGGCCCGCACAAGCGGUGGAGUAUGUGGUUUAAUUCGAUGCAACGCGAAGAACCUUACCAGGACUUGACAUGUCCGGAACCCUGAUGAAAGUUAGGGGUGCCUUCGGGAGCCGGAGCACAGGUGGUGCAUGGCUGUCGUCAGCUCGUGUCGUGAGAUGUUGGGUUAAGUCCCGCAACGAGCGCAACCCUCGUUCUUAGUUGCCAGCACUUCGGGUGGGCACUCUAAGGAGACUGCCGGUGACAAACCGGAGGAAGGUGGGGAUGACGUCAAGUCAGCAUGCCCCUUACGUCCUGGGCUACACACGUACUACAAUGCUGUGGACAAUGGGCAGCAAGCAGGCAACUGCAAGCAAAUCUCACAAACCAUGGCUCAGUUCAGAUCGAAGGCUGCAACUCGCCUUCGUGAAGGUGGAAUCGCUAGUAAUUGCAGGUCAGCAUACUGCAGUGAAUUCGUUCCCGGGCCUUGUACACACCGCCCGUCACACCAUGGAAGCUGGUAGUGCCCGAAGUCGUUACCCUAACCACUUGUGGGGGGGGACGCCGAAGGCAGGACUGGUGACUGGGGUGAA